rnacentral:rRNA from 1 species
AUUGAACGCUGGCGGCAUGCUUUACACAUGCAAGUCGAACGGUAACAGGUUAAGCUGACGAGUGGCGAACGGGUGAGUAAUGCAUCGGAACGUGCCCGGUCGUGGGGGAUAACACUUCGAAAGAGGUGCUAAUACCGCAUACGAUCUGAGGAUGAAAGCGGGGGACCGUAAGGCCUCGCGCGAUCGGAGCGGCCGAUGUCAGAUUAGGUAGUUGGUGGGGUAAAGGCCUACCAAGCCGACGAUCUGUAGCUGGUCUGAGAGGACGACCAGCCACACUGGGACUGAGACACGGCCCAGACUCCUACGGGAGGCAGCAGUGGGGAAUUUUGGACAAUGGGCGCAAGCCUGAUCCAGCAAUGCCGCGUGCAGGAAGAAGGCCUUCGGGUUGUAAACUGCUUUUGUACGGAGCGAAAAGGCUCUCUCUAAUACAGGGGGCUCAUGACGGUACCGUAAGAAUAAGCACCGGCUAACUACGUGCCAGCAGCCGCGGUAA